CGCACGGAUUUUGCAUUCUAUUAUUAAGAUUUUUUCAGUGUGUAAGGCCAGAAUUCCAGAAAUAAAACAUUAGAGCAAGCCAGUACCUUUCCAAACCACUAGCCAAGAAUAUUUAAAAACGUUGGCUCCUGCUGAGCACUUCAAUGGGUUACCAAAAGGAACUAUGUGCUGAGAAUUUUUGAAGCUACGCUUAUCCAGCGAAACCAAACAUUACGCGAAUUGCAUGGUGUUGAACGCGCUGGAGAUUCCAAAUUAUUUCAGUGUUAGUUUUCUCCCUUGGAAUAGAGUAACACAAAAAUUCAAUAAAAACGCGAUAAGGACUCAUAAAAGAUAAACAAAUACACGCGAAGCCGAGACAAGAUCCUUUGCCGAUUCUUACUUCGGAUUGCCUCAUAACGUUUGACUCCGGAGCUUCUUGAACCCCAUUAAUAGGGAAAUAGUCAGGUGUGUGCGCUCAGCGUAAAUACGUGGCACAACCUGCGUGUAUGAUCAAGCUUAUUGGCAUGUGGUACUAUUUUUGCUCUCAUAACGGACACAUCUCUUUUCCAAAUUAGGUUUUUAAUGAUCUGAUAUCCAACGGCAAGAUCCACACUUUCGCUGUGCCGGUAGAUACUUUCUUUUGAAAGAAAUUUGAGAGAACAUGUCUGCGGAUGCCUAGAUAUAAACAUUCGAGUUAUGUCAAGUUGCCUUCUGAUACCAAUUUUGCUUACGUUAUCGCUGGAGCUUAAGUUUUAUUUAAGCAAGUAGUUCUUCAGAGAUAAACUCAGAACAGCUGGCGGUAAAGCAGGACUAAAGGAAAUUUAUAGAGAAUGCUUUCGUGGUUAUUAAUGUGAGCAUUUUACUAAACUGAUUAAGAAAAAAAAGACCCACUUGGUUUCAGAUACGUGGAGUGUCAGCUGAAACGACUAAAUAAUUGCUUUCGUAUCUGCAGCAUGCCGAUUCUUAUGUGUUUUGUGCAAAUGUAUGUCCUGACAGGCCAAGCUUCCCCUACGCGUACCUAGAGUUGUUCUGUUGCCCAAAUUUGUCUGUAGGUUAAUUCGCUGUUGCGACAACUCUAAGAAAAUAGCCUGAUGAUAUAAACGAAACUUUGUUUUUGUGUAUGAAGCUUAGCUUCUUAGCUGUUUUUUGUCUCUAAUCACAAGGUAAAAGCGAUAUUCGAAACGGCCGGGGCAGCUUCAAUGAACAUGCGGAAUAUACGCAGCUACGAACAGCGAACGACGGCGACCAAUUGACCAAGAAAACGUGCACAUUGACGCUUCACUAUCCUCUACGCCUUCCCCAAAGGACCACAGCAGCAAUAAAGCAACUUUGUCCUCGAAUAGCAGACGGGAAAGACUGCUACUCUAAGUAGAGACCAAGGGCAAACCAGGGCAAGUUAGCGGGGAAUGGAGCUCCAUGUUUUGUGUUUGUCUCAAUGUCCGAAUGACUCUCGCUCGAUUCCUCGUCCCGACGUUGCUGAAUUGAAACUUAGGAGUGUGAGUUAUAGAAAUUCGCCUUUGGCAGUGACCAGCAGCUGGAAACCUAUAAGAUAAAGUGCGAACCUAUGAUAUAAGAUAUAAUGAUAAGUUCCCAGUCGAAACAAAACCUGAAUCCAAAGACGAAAUACAAAUAGGAAUAAAAAGGUUAAUGCUUUAAGAAUAAAUAGCAUGCAAAAAAGUUCAGUGAAGAUUAGCUGUGGUCUAACGGUAGAAAUACAAGCACAUACAUUAGUAACUUUAUUAGUCGCUUAUGAUCUGCUAACGAUAUUAAAGGUGAUGGGUGUGUGGAUUAAAGGGAACAAAAAUAUUGACUAACAAUAAGUUGGUUUUAUGACCAUAACCUUUUAGGCUCAAAUCGAGGCAUUAGGCCUCUUGGCCGUUUACCUUUUCAGGGAAGCUUGCAUUGUUAGCUUUGAUUAACUUAUAAGCACAAACUUUCUUAGCUUAUGUGCCCAUAUCCACGAUUUUUCCAUCGUAACAGAGAACAAUCAAUUAAGUACACUCUUAACCUUUCCACUAAAUAGAAGUCCCUUUUCUACAGCCCCGUCCUCAGUCACGUGAUACGCCCUUGCUUUUUCAAUUAACGCUAAUGAAUACAGUACUACGAUCGGUCUUUCUAGUAACAUAUAUGGUGAUCGAGAUCGUAGGUUUUGAGAGUCGAUUAAGACCGAUCUAUUAACGCAUUUAAUAGUGACCCCGCUAGAUUAUCUUAAAACCUUGCGAAAACUUUGUUCAGGCCAUAAUAGUGUUGCAAAAUAAACCCUAAUUCUCGGUAGCCUCGAAAGAAUAAUAGGACGGCCGACGACAUCAGCAAUACGGCGAAAAGCCGUUACCGGCGAGGUAUGCGAAUCAAUACCUCUCCUCACUUAGAACGCUGCAUAAGCAUAACACCAGCAGAUGGAAUAAAGCGCUAAGCAAAUUACGAUAUGCAUAGCGCAACAGGAGUCUCAGGACUACAAUGUUAUUGAAUUCGUGGAAACGGCUCUGAAGGCUUAUGACGUUUACACGACGUAUACAAGAUAGUGCCAAACAACGCCGGGGCUAAAAAGAGUUAGAAAAUACACGUGCAGCCUUCGCAUAUAGGUGA